rnacentral:rRNA from 1 species
GACGAACGCUGGCGGCGUGCUUAACACAUGCAAGUCGAACGGAAAGGCCCUGCUUUUGUGGGGUGCUCGAGUGGCGAACGGGUGAGUAACACGUGAGUAACCUGCCCUUGACUUUGGGAUAACUUCAGGAAACUGGGGCUAAUACCGGAUAGGAGCUCCUGCUGCAUGGUGGGGGUUGGAAAGUUUCGGCGGUUGGGGAUGGACUCGCGGCUUAUCAGCUUGUUGGUGGGGUAGUGGCUUACCAAGGCUUUGACGGGUAGCCGGCCUGAGAGGGUGACCGGCCACAUUGGGACUGAGAUACGGCCCAGACUCCUACGGGAGGCAGCAGUGGGGGAUACUGCACAAUGGGCGGAAGCCUGAUGCAGCAACGCCGCGUGCGGGAUGACGGCCUUCGGGUUGUAAACCGCUUUCGCCUGUGACGAAGCGUGAGUGACGGUAAUGGGUAAAGAAGCACCGGCUAACUACGUG